UGCAGGCUUAACACAUGCAAGUCGAGGGGCAGCAUGGUCUUAGCUUGCUAAGGCCGAUGGCGACCGGCGCACGGGUGAGUAACACGUAUCCAACCUGCCGUCUACUCUUGGACAGCCUUCUGAAAGGAAGAUUAAUACAAGAUGGCAUCAUGAGUCCACAUGUUCACAUGAUUAAAGGUAUUCCGGUAGACGAUGGGGAUGCGUUCCAUUAGAUAGUAGGCGGGGUAACGGCCCACCUAGUCUUCGAUGGAUAGGGGUUCUGAGAGGAAGGUCCCCCACAUUGGAACUGAGACACGGUCCAAACUCCUACGGGAGGCAGCAGUGAGGAAUAUUGGUCAAUGGGCGAGAGCCUGAACCAGCCAAGUAGCGUGAAGGAUGACUGCCCUAUGGGUUGUAAACUUCUUUUAUAAAGGAAUAAAGUCGGGUAUGGAUACCCGUUUGCAUGUACUUUAUGAAUAAGGAUCGGCUAACUCCGUGCCAGCAGCCGCGGUAAUACGGAGGAUCCGAGCGUUAUCCGGAUUUAUUGGGUUUAAAGGGAGCGUAGAUGGAUGUUUAAGUCAGUUGUGAAAGUUUGCGGCUCAACCGUAAAAUUGCAGUUGAUACUGGAUAUCUUGAGUGCAGUUGAGGCAGGCGGAAUUCGUGGUGUAGCGGUGAAAUGCUUAGAUAUCACGAAGAACUCCGAUUGCGAAGGCAGCCUGCUAAGCUGCAACUGACAUUGAGGCUCGAAAGUGUGGGUAUCAAACAGGAUUAGAUACCCUGGUAGUCCACACGGUAAACGAUGAAUACUCGCUGUUUGCGAUAUACAGCAAGCGGCCAAGCGAAAGCGUUAAGUAUUCCACCUGGGGAGUACGCCGGCAACGGUGAAACUCAAAGGAAUUGACGGGGGCCCGCACAAGCGGAGGAACAUGUGGUUUAAUUCGAUGAUACGCGAGGAACCUUACCCGGGCUUAAAUUGCAGAUGAAUUACGGUGAAAGCCGUAAGCCGCAAGACAUCUGUGAAGGUGCUGCAUGGUUGUCGUCAGCUCGUGCCGUGAGGUGUCGGCUUAAGUGCCAUAACGAGCGCAACCCUUGUUGUCAGUUACUAACAGGUUCCGCUGAGGACUCUGACAAGACUGCCAUCGUAAGAUGUGAGGAAGGUGGGGAUGACGUCAAAUCAGCACGGCCCUUACGUCCGGGGCUACACACGUGUUACAAUGGGGGGUACAGAGGGCCGCUACCACGCGAGUGGAUGCCAAUCCCAAAAACCUCUCUCAGUUCGGACUGGAGUCUGCAACCCGACUCCACGAAGCUGGAUUCGCUAGUAAUCGCGCAUCAGCCACGGCGCGGUGAAUACGUUCCCGGGCCUUGUACACACCGCCCGUCAAGCCAUGGGAGCCGGGGGUACCUGAAGUGCGUAACCGCGAGGAGCGCCCUAGGGUAAAACUGGUGACUGGGGCUAAGUCAUAACAA
rnacentral:rRNA from 1 species